GGCAGCAAGCGCUCGCGCACGACCCCUCCUCGUGGCUAGGGUUUCGGCUGCGUCCAACUCCGGCGCGGUGAGAUCUCAUCUUCCCUCAAUUCAUUCCCUCUCCUCUCCCCUUCUUCCUUCUCUCCCUGCCCUUUUUUCCCUUCUGUUCCACUACUUUCCUUCCUCCGUGCAAUACUGCUCGCAACCUGUUUGUGUUUAUGCCUAGCAGCCUUUUUUUCCUUCUGUUCCACUACGUUCCUUCCUCCGUGCACAACCUGUUUGUGCUUAUGCUCGGCGGCCUAAAUCUUUCUCGUAAGUGGUAUGCAAAGGUGAAAGAUUGAAUGGUUAUGAAGUUGUGAUAAAAUGAUUUAAAUACCAAGAGUUUUAAAACAGAGGAAAGGUGGAAAGGGCCUGGUAUGCUUUGUCAGAACAGAAAUAUACAAUUAGACUUGUUGAGCACUAUUACUCCAAUCAAUUAGACAUGGUUGUCUUUUGUAUCGGCUUCUGUCUUCAUUACAGAGUUCAGCUCAUUAGCAAAUAAUAACAUUUAGUUGGACGCAGCUCGUGCAAGGACACUAUAUUUAGUUGAAGUUCCUUGAUGUGCGAGAUGCAAAGAUUUUAGAACAGUUCGAAAGAAUUACUGCUGUAAAAAAAUCAGGCAGCUCUAUUUGUCUUCGUUGGGAGGAGUAAUUUCACUGCAUUCAUAUACUGGAGAGUAAAAUAAUGAAAAGCUCCCUUGAGUGAUGACUAAUGAAAAGAUUUUAGUACAUAAAAAAUGACAAAACUAGCUUCAGGACGAACAACAGGUUUGCUAACCAUUUGAUCUCUUUUGUGCAUUGCAGGUUUGCUACUUAAUUCUCAAAAAAAUCAUGCGUUUGCAUCACCAUCCUAUGGAACCACGAAGCCGGAUCCAAUGAUUUCAGAGAACAUUUACUAUGUUUAUGGAUCACUACAUGUGAUCUGCUAGAACAAGCUACCGAAGCACCAGAACUGCUCUCUUUGAUGGCAUUGAAGAAGGUGGAAUACGAGCACCAGCUUAUUCUUCACAUGAGAUAGAUGAACAUGAGAAUGAGCGAGCUAUGGAUUGAUUGUAGAGAUCGAGUCAGCAUUCUCAAGAGGGUUAGUGCCACAUAAUGAUUGAAUAUCCGAAUGCUCCAUCUUUGUUUUAUGUAAAGAGUUGGUGUUUUCACAUAUUGAUUGUGCUUGUUUAUAUUCUAAAAAAAUGAUUGUGCAUGUUUAUCUUUUAACUGUAUCGCUUAGCUAAGAUCAUAAGAAGAUAUUUGUAGUUGUACGCUUUCUAAAAAUGAUAUCUUUUCCUCGCAAAACGAAGAGAUGAUCAACUUUAGGAAUUGCAACUUUAUCCAUGGUAACCAUGUGCAUUCCUGGACCAUUUAGUUUGAAUAGCCAGUGAGGAAUUAAGCAUAUAUUUUUGGCAUGAGCCCCUUUAAAUUGCUAGAUGAGAAGGAAUCUUGACUUAAUGAGCGUGAAUUGCAAUAUAUUAUUUGGUUGAACUGAUGCAAUUUGCUGAUGCCUUCUUGCUUGCUUGCUUGCGAAUGACCUGGGAAUUAUUUCUACUAGGUGCACAGCCUUUGCUUGUCAAUUUGCCUCAAAAGCUUGUAUUCAGAAUCUAUAACAAGAUUUCGUACUGCCUUGGAAUUCCUUAUCUCCUUUUACUUGUGGUCAUGCCUAGCACUAUCUUGGUUCAUUGUUUAAUUCCAGGAUUUGUGAGUUCCUAGUAGGGAACACAUGGACACGAAGCUGCGGCGAGGACGACGAUGAUAUCAACAUGGGGCUGCGGCGGCAACGAUGAUGACGACGAGAUCGACAUCGUCAUGGGGCUGCGGCGGCGACGACGAUGACGACGGCAUCCUCACGGUGCUGCAGCGGCGGCGAUGAUGACGACAUCAACACCAUCAAACACGGGCUUGUGGAGGCGCCGGCGACAAUGACCUAUAGGCGUGGUGUAUAUUGUAUGUAUGUAUGUAUAUAUAUAUAUACAUAUAUAUAUAUAUAUGUAUUAAUUGUCUAUAGUAGAUGUGUAUGAUUGACUGUAUGCAUAAAAUGUGCGUAUUAUAAAAUGCAUGUAUGUGAGUACUAUGAAAUGUAUGUCUACACUGGAAUAGGUAGAUUUUUAUAUUUUUUUUAAAUCUUAAUUAGUUACUAGUAGCGUGGGUGUAUCA